GGCUUAGGAUGAACGCUGGCGGCGUGCUUAACACAUGCAAGUCGAACGAAGCAUCUGGUCUGAUUCUUCGGAUUGAAGACCUUAUGACUUAGUGGCGGACGGGUGAGUAACGCGUGGGCAAUCUGCCCCAUACCGGGGGACAACAGUUGGAAACGACUGCUAAUACCGCAUAAGCGCACGGGACCGCAUGGUCUUGUGUGAAAAACUCCGGUGGUAUGGGAUGAGCCCGCGUUGGAUUAGGUAGUUGGUGAGGUAACGGCCCACCAAGCCGACGAUCCAUAGCCGACCUGAGAGGGUGACCGGCCACAUUGGGACUGAGACACGGCCCAAACUCCUACGGGAGGCAGCAGUGGGGAAUAUUGCACAAUGGGGGAAACCCUGAUGCAGCCGACGCCGCGUGAGUGAAGAAGUAUUUCGGUAUGUAAAGCUCUAUCAGCAGGGAAGAAGAUGACGGUACCUGCACAAGAAGCCCCGGCUAACUACGUGCCAGCCGCCGC
rnacentral:rRNA from 1 species